rnacentral:misc_RNA from 1 species
UUUCCGUAGGUGAACCUGCGGAAGGAUCAUUCAUAAUAAAGUGUUUUAUGGCACUUUUUAAAAAUCCAUAUCCACCUUGUGUGCAAUGUUAGAUCUCGUCAAUCUUGGCGAGAUUUUUAUACAUCAACUCAUUCUUUAACUAAUUUGUCUGAAAAAUAUUAUGAAUACUUAAUUCAAAAUACAACUUUCAACAACGGAUCUCUUGGCUCGC